rnacentral:misc_RNA from 1 species
AAAUUUUAAGAACUGACAACACACCAUAUUUAAAUCAUAGGGCAGAGAAUCCCAACGUGGGUACUGGCAUCAAACGGAUGUGUCAUUCAAUUUUGGCAUCAACGGAUCUCUCAAAUGGCAAAAUGUUACGCAGCAGAAUACUUGCUCACCGAAGGCCUAUAUGUGCAGCAUCAAAGAAGGCAAAUAAAUGCAAUACUCAUUUAUAUGUUUUCCAUUGUUCCUAUACAAUUUGGUCGUUGCCUUGUUCCUUAAGCCUUCAUGAUUAUUCUCCAUAAGUCACGUAAAAUGCUACUUAACAAUUACCAGCCAAGCCAAUUAUACGAGCAAUCACAUCUUUCAGUUGAUAAAUGUGUGUCAAAAACUUGUCAUCAUGUUCAGAGAAUUCAAAUUGAUUUUGUUGCCACUGGGAAAUGCCAUCGCUAAUAACCUUCAUGCCGCUCUGGAGUAGUUCCACUCCCUUGCUGAUUGCAUCAGGGAGUUUCCUUCUCUUAUUGGAUUGUAUGUCGGCAUCAAUCUCCUCACGUUCCAUAGCCUUGUUAGAAAAUUUCUGAACCAUUUCUUUCAGCGCUAAACCUUCCUUCACGAGCAACUCAAGCUGCUCAAAGCUAGGUGUAAUGGUAAGAAGAGCCCUUUCCUUCUCGAGAAAUGCCUUCAGCUCAGACAUAAAUCGCUCUUCAGUUGCUUCAUUUCCUGAUAAUAGAUCAUAUGAAAGAGCUGCAUUUUGUGGCACAAAUCGCCAUAGCUGAUUGCAAGAAGUACGAGCAGCAAAAUAUCCAAAAGCAGCAAUUGCAAGAUGAACAAGUGCCCAGUGCUGCUCCCUGAAUAGCAUGUGAUACAACUCCCACACAGCAGAACUCUUCGCACAAUCAUCACUUUCUGACAUCUCCAUUUCCCCAAGUCCUCCCAUGAAAAGUGCCAGAUAUGGUUUGCACUGAUACAAUAGUGGAUCAGAGGCUGCUGGCCCUGAGAUAAACAGGUUUUGAAGCUCCAAGAUGACUUCUUCCAUCUCAUCAGAUUUAUAUAGAUGCUUGAUAUUUGAGACAAUCCCCAGUGUUUCACUUAAAAGCUUAUGACAAUGUUCCUUCAUUAGUUGGUCUACAGGAUUUCUGAAGUUGCGAAUAAUAGUAACUAAGAAGUUGAGGCUCUUCAUGCCAACAUCAGAUAUGCUAACCUGUUGUGACUGCAGGGAAGCUGAUAGAAUGAAAACUGGAACCCCAAAUAUACCAGAACUGCAAGCAGUCAACAGUUUGUCACUAGGGCUCACUAUGAAGUUGAAGUAAUCAGUAACGAUUUUCUGUUUAGCAUUACUUCUGAUGUUAUCCAUCAGUGAAUUCAGAGGAAAGCCUUCCAAGAGCAAGGCAACACAUAUAACUGAUGAAUCACAGACAACUGCGCUAUAAACACGGUCAACUAUAGAUGGAGUCCCAUUAGUAAGAAGCAAGCAGAUUGUUCUUGCUAUUUUCCUCAGAGGAGAAGCAGGGAUAAGAACUGAUUCUGGAGAUGCCAGUAAUCUCAUUAAUGAGUAAAACUUAUCAAUAGUGUCAUUUACCAUGUCAGUUUCAGCAUGACGCAACAAAAAGCACCAGAGUUCCAUUAUAAUCUCCCAGCAUAGAAAAUGUGGAUGGAAGAGAUUCUCAAGCAGAAAAGCCUCCAACUCCAUCCAACCAUUACUUGAAGACACAACAAUCAUGAAGGUUUUUAUUGAAUUCAAAAAAGCAGGAAACAUAGGCUGCAAAACCAAUUCAAUUGUUUUCCCAGAUCCAUAUGGUACAGGAAUUUGCAUAUCAAGAAUGGACGAGUACACCCUAUCAUCAACUAAUACAUCCAAAAACCAUACAAGCUUUUUUGUUAAUAUGUUCUGUACAUCUUCUUCAAGACCAACAGAAUAUCUUAGCAAAGUAUGAAACAGUAAAACCCGACCAAGAAGCAAUAGUCUCUCUUGAGGCAUAGAUUUACUACUUAGAGAAAAUGUUUCAAUGAUUGAGCUUGUAUGACAAUAUCUACUUGAAUCUCCAAGGAUUGAAUUUGAGUAGCAUUCAUCAGUGAACAACCAGUCCAGAAGUUCAAACUUGUGCUCCUGUUUCACUUCAGCUGAAUUCAGUAAAGAAGUAAGCAAAUCCAUAGAUGUCUUCUCCAAAAGUUCUGAGAACACUUCACUAGCAGUAUUCAGAAGUUUUUCAAAGCUCAAGAAUAUCCUGAAAGCUGAGAUCACCAUAGCACACUGUGUUAUUUCCUUGUAUACAAGAUAAGCUUGGCAUGGAUACAAGGAAGAUAUUUUCACUGCAUUAAUAAGGUAAAAUUUGACUGGAAGAAAUGUCCUCCUAGCUUCAACUACAGAAACAGUUUCCUCCAACGAAGAAGACCAAGCCAUGGCCGCACAUCUAAGAGGUUCACUGACAAGCGAAAUUAGGGUUACAAUAAUAUCUUGCACACUUACGCUCUCGGUUAACAUUCCCUUGCCUAGCUGAAGCAAGGCAACCACACCUUUCCAUGACAAAUUGAGAAUGGUUACCAGAUUUCCACCAUCAUUUGCUGCAAGGAUGCCCGUUGCACACAAUUUCUCUAUUGUGGAUUUUAUUAUGUUUAUAACAUGGUUCCUAAUAUUGGCUUCUUUAUGGUCCAUGCUGUCCUCAUUCUUCUCAGGUCUUGCAUCCCAGGAAUCCCAAUUCACAGCUAGGGAAUACUCCUUGCAUAGUCUCAUCACAGCAUCAAUCACCAUCUGCGCAACCGUCAGUAUUUCUGAGCUAUAGUUAUUGAUUCUCUUAGUCUCUGAUACUACAUCCUUUGUUAAAUUCAACUGUUCUGAAACGAAUCUUUCAACAAUAAUUGUGGAAUCAUUGUCAGUCAAAAAAGGAUAUCUUGUCAAAGCCAUCACAAUAGCUGCAGAGAGGCUCAAGAAAUCCAAAAGAAGCUGGAAGAAGCAGUCACAAUGUUCUUCUUCUUGAGAGUCUGCAGAUGACAUAAGAGUCAUCUUCAGAUGCUUUCCACACCAUGUGCUUGCCUUUGUCCCAAGAGCAAGAAACUGUACCAAACAUCCAGAUAAGUCUGAAUCUACAUAUUUUGCAGCCACCUGCAAUAUAGCUUUGUUUAACAUGCAUUGGGAUGCAUCCAAGCAAGUGAAGUCUUCCCAAAAAGUUGUGAGGCUUUCAACAAUAGACGCCAAGUGAGUUUUCUCAGGUAAAUCCGAUUCCCUGAGUUUAGCAAGCAGCUGAACCCGGCUCUCCACCACAUCUGAAGAUUUGAUGGAAUCUAGUAGAAUCUGCAAAUCCCUGUUGGAGCUCUCUCUCACCAUUUUCGCUCGGUUUCUUUCUUU